AUUGAACGCUGGCGGAAUGCUUUACACAUGCAAGUCGAACGGCAGCACGGACUUCGGUCUGGUGACGAGUGGCGAACGGGUGAGUAAUACAUCGGAACGUGCCCAAUCGUGGGGGAUAACGUAGCGAAAGCUACGCUAAUACCGCAUACGAUCUAAGGACGAAAGCGGGGGAUCGCAAGACCUCGCGCGAUUGGAGCGGCCGAUGGCGGAUUAGGUAGUUGGUAGGGUAAAGGCCUACCAAGCCGACGAUCUGUAGCUGGUCUGAGAGGAUGAUCAGCCACACUGGGACUGAGACACGGCCCAGACUCCUACGGGAGGCAGCAGUGGGGAAUUUUGGACAAUGGACGCAAGUCUGAUCCAGCCAUUCCGCGUGCAGGAUGAAGGCCCUCGGGUUGUAAACUGCUUUUGUACAGAACGAAAAGGCUCUGGUUAAUACCUAGGGCUCAUGACGGUACUGUAAGAAUAAGCACCGGCUAACUACGUGCCAGCCGCCGCAGUAA
rnacentral:rRNA from 1 species